rnacentral:tRNA from 1 species
GGGGAUUUAGCUCAGUGGUAGAGCGCAUACCUAGGAAGCGCAAGGCCCUGGGUUCGAUCCCCAGCUCCG